GACCCACCAGGACAGAGGCGGCAGUGGGGAGCGUGCCUGCGUCGCUCGGUGCCGUGACAGCGAGGAGCGCGGCGCGGGGCCGGGUAGCAAGGGGAGUUUCCGUCCUCGCUCAAGUGGAGCUCAGCUCGGAGCUGCGCCAGCGCCUUCCGCCUGGGCCCGCGGUGCCAGACACCUGCCGAGUCCGAAGCGGGAGUCCGGCUGAGCCUUCGGUCCCCAAAAUCACCAAUCUGAGCAUAUGCCACUUGACAUGGGAACACUGAGGCCAGCAAUUUAAGGAUUUUCACAUUUAUCUGCAGAGGGUCCUGGAUC